rnacentral:rRNA from 1 species
CCAAGGCUAAAUACUCCUGACUGACCGAUAGUGAACCAGUACCGUGAGGGAAAGGCGAAAAGAACCCCGGCGAGGGGAGUGAAAAAGAACCUGAAACCGUGUACGUACAAGCAGUGGGAGCACGCUUCGGCGUGUGACUGCGUACCUUUUGUAUAAUGGGUCAGCGACUUAUAUUCUGUAGCAAGGUUAACCGAAUAGGGGAGCCGAAGGGAAACCGAGUCUUAACUGGGCGUUAAGUUGCAGGGUAUAGACCCGAAACCCGGUGAUCUAGCCAUGGGCAGGUUGAAGGUUGGGUAACACUAACUGGAGGACCGAACCGACUAAUGUUGAAAAAUUAGCGGAUGACUUGUGGCUGGGGGUGAAAGGCCAAUCAAACCGGGAGAUAGCUGGUUCUCCCCGAAAGCUAUUUAGGUAGCGCCUCGUGAAUUCAUCUCCGGGGGUAGAGCACUGUUUCGGCAAGGGGGUCAUCCCGACUUACCAACCCGAUGCAAACUGCGAAUACCGGAGAAUGUUAUCACGGGAGACACACGGCGGGUGCUAACGUCCGUCGUGAAGAGGGAAACAACCCAGACCGCCAGCUAAGGUCCCAAAGUCAUGGUUAAGUGGGAAACGAUGUGGGAAGGCCCAGACAGCCAGGAUGUUGGCUUAGAAGCAGCCAUCAUUUAAAGAAAGCGUAAUAGCUCACUGGUCGAGUCGGCCUGCGCGGAAGAUGUAACGGGGCUAAACCAUGCACCGAAGCUGCGGCAGCGACACUAUGUGUUGUUGGGUAGGGGAGCGUUCUGUAAGCCUGUGAAGGUGUACUGUGAGGUAUGCUGGAGGUAUCAGAAGUGCGAAUGCUGACAUAAGUAACGAUAAAGCGGGUGAAAAGCCCGCUCGCCGGAAGACCAAGGGUUCCUGUCCAACGUUAAUCGGGGCAGGGUGAGUCGACCCCUAAGGCGAGGCCGAAAGGCGUAGUCGAUGGGAAACAGGUUAAUAUUCCUGUACUUGGUGUUACUGCGAAGGGGGGACGGAGAAGGCUAUGUUGGCCGGGCGACGGUUGUCCCGGUUUAAGCGUGUAGGCUGGUUUUCCAGGCAAAUCCGGAAAAUCAAGGCUGAGGCGUGAUGACGAGGCACUACGGUGCUGAAGCAACAAAUGCCCUGCUUCCAGGAAAAGCCUCUAAGCAUCAGGUAACAUCAAAUCGUACCCCAAACCGACACAGGUGGUCAGGUAGAGAAUACCAAGGCGCUUGAGAGAACUCGGGUGAAGGAACUAGGCAAAAUGGUGCCGUAACUUCGGGAGAAGGCACGC